ACGAACGCUGGCGGCGUGCUUAACACAUGCAAGUCGAACGGAAAGGCCCUGCUUUUGUGGGGUGCUCGAGUGGCGAACGGGUGAGUAACACGUGAGUAACCUGCCCUUGACUUUGGGAUAACUUCAGGAAACUGGGGCUAUUACCGGAUAGGAGCUCCUGCUGCAUGGUGGGGGUUGGAAAGUUUCGGCGGUUGGGGAUGGACUCGCGGCUUAUCAGCUUGUUGGUGGGGUAGUGGCUUACCAAGGCUUUGACGGGUAGCCGGCCUGAGAGGGUGACCGGCCACAUUGGGACUGAGAUACGGCCCAGACUCCUACGGGAGGCAGCAGUGGGGAAUAUUGCACUAUGGGCGGAAGCCUGAUGCAGCAACGCCGCGUGCGGGAUGACGGCCUUCGGGUUGUAAACCGCUUUCGCCUGUGACGAAGCGUGAGUGACGGUAAUGGGUAAAGAAGCACCGGCUAACUACGUG
rnacentral:rRNA from 1 species